rnacentral:rRNA from 1 species
AGAGUGAACGCUGGCGGCGUGCCUAACACAUGCAAGUCGAGCGAGGUACUAACGGUAGCAAUACUGGAUAGGCCUAGCGGCAGACGGGUGAGUAACACGUAGAUAACCUUCCUCUUAGAGGGGGAUAGCUCGCCGAAAGGCGAGGUAAUACCCCGUACGAUCGCGGACCGGCAUCGGUCUGUGAUGAAACAUCCGCAAGGAUGGCUGAGAGACGGAUCUGCGGCCCAUCAGCUAGUUGGUGAGGUAACGGCUCACCAAGGCUACGACGGUAACCGCCUGAAAGGCGAACGGUCACACUGACACUGAGACACGGGUCAGACUCCGUAGGGAGCAGCAGUGAGGAAUCUUGGACAAGUACGGGGCAACCCGUGAUCCAGCGACGCCGCGUGAAGGAUAGAAGGUCUUCGGAUUAGUAACUUUCGUUUGUCGUAGGUAAAUAAAAAUUC